rnacentral:rRNA from 1 species
UUCUUUAUCACCGAGUGCUUGCACUCACCGAUAAAGAGUUGAGUGGCGAACGGGUGAGUAACACGUGGGCAACCUGCCCAAAAGAGGGGGAUAACACUUGGAAACAGGUGCUAAUACCGCAUAACCAUAGUUACCGCAUGGUAACUAUGUAAAAGGUGGCUAUGCUACCGCUUUUGGAUGGGCCCGCGGCGCAUUAGCUAGUUGGUGGGGUAAAGGCUUACCAAGGCAAUGAUGCGUAGCCGAACUGAGAGGUUGAUCGGCCACAUUGGGACUGAGACACGGCCCAAACUCCUACGGGAGGCAGCAGUAGGGAAUCUUCCACAAUGGGCGAAAGCCCGAUGGAGCAACGCCGCGUGGGUGAAGAAGGUCUUCGGAUCGUAAAACCCUGUUGUUAGAGAAGAAAGUGCGUGAGAGUAACUGUUCACGUUUCGACGGUAUCUAACCAGAAAGCCACGGCUAACUACGUGCCAGCAGCCGCGGUAAUACGUAGGUGGCAAGCGUUAUCCGGAUUUAUUGGGCGUAAAGGGAACGCAGGCGGUCUUUUAAGUCUGAUGUGAAAGCCUUCGGCUUAACCGGAGUAGUUCAUUGGAAACUGGGAGACUUGAGUGCAGAAGAGGAGAGUGGAACUCCAUGUGCAGCGGUGAAAUGCGUAGAUAUAUGGAAGAACACCAGUGGCGAAAGCGGCUCUCUGGUCUGUAACUGACGCUGAGGUUCGAAAGCGUGGGUAGCAAACAGGAUUAGAUACCCUGGUAGUCCACGCCG